rnacentral:rRNA from 1 species
GACGAACGCUGGCGGCGUGCCUAAUACAUGCAAGUCGAACGCUUCUUUCCUCCCGAGUGCUUGCACUCAAUUGGAAAGAGGAGUGGCGGACGGGUGAGUAACACGUGUGUAACCUACCCAUCAGAGGGGGAUAACACUUGGAAACAGGUGCUAAUACCGCAUAACAGUUUAUGCCGCAUGGCAUAAGAGUGAAAGGCGCUUUCGGGUGUCGCUGAUGGAUGGACCCGCGGUGCAUUAGCUAGUUGGUGAGGUAACGGCUCACCAAGGCCACGAUGCAUAGCCGACCUGAGAGGGUGAUCGGCCACACUGGGACUGAGACACGGCCCAGACUCCUACGGGAGGCAGCAGUAGGGAAUCUUCGGCAAUGGACGAAAGUCUGACCGAGCAACGCCGCGUGAGUGAAGAAGGUUUUCGGAUCGUAAAACUCUGUUGUUAGAGAAGAACAAGGACGUUAGUAACUGAACGUCCCCUGACGGUAUCUAACCAGAAAGGCACGGCUAACUACGUG